rnacentral:lncRNA from 1 species
UGUCUGUCCACCAUUUCUAAUCAAGUGCUGAGUUUUCAUGUUGAAAUUCCUUAAAUGAAGCCUUCUCUGGGUUGUGUCUUCCUUCAUUUUCUAGGUUUAAAAGUGGAAUGCAUGUAUAGAUUGAGCUAGCAGAGGAAAUUGGGCUUCCUUUUUUAAGCUCUGAUGAUUGAACACAAAUUGUCUGGCUUGUGUUUUGGUGAGUAAAACGCAACACAGAAAUGACUUUUUUUCCCUCCUUCACUGUUGCUUUUAGAUAUUGUCCAGCCAUGCAGUGGACCAUGUUUAGUGAAGGGCCUGAACCAGAAGAGAACCAGAUUGAUUGCUCUGAUUUUCUCCCACUGCAAUCUCAUGGGCGGAAAGUGAUGCUAUGGGAGGUUUUCCACAUCCCACAAGUCACAUUAAGGAAGAGAAGAUGUGGAGUAGAUCAGAAUCUGUAACAUCCAGCUUGAUCCCAAUCUCUUCUGCUGCCUCCAGAUGGCCUUGAG